ACAGUUGCCAGCUCGUCCUCCCGGGGAUGGUGGGGACACUGUUGGGACCGCCUCUGCUAAAGAGGAGGAAGGAAUGGGCAACGGUAGGUCAGCAUGCCCCGAAUUAUCUGGGCUACACGCGGGCUACAAUGGGUGGGACAAUGGGUAUCGACACCGAGAGGUGAAGGCAAUCUCCUAAACCCAUCCGUAGUUCGGAUUGUGGGCUGCAACUCGCCCACAUGAAGCUGGAAUCUGUAGUAAUCGUGUCUCAAAAUGGCACGGUGAAUAUGUCCCUGCUCCUU
rnacentral:rRNA from 1 species